rnacentral:lncRNA from 1 species
UUCUUGUUCUCGGGCUGGCUGGAGGCGGCGUCGCCACGCCGGCUCCUCCCCCGAUCCCCGCUGGCAGCCUCCGCGGAGGAGGAGGCCAUCGAGCCCCUGCUGACGUGGAACAUGUGGGGGGAUGGCAACCCCACGUGGGGGAAGACGGGGUGGGAGGGGAGCUCCAGGCCGUGGGGCGUGGGGCUGCCGGAGAAUCCAGUGCUCCCCAGGGACCCGGGGCGGAAGCCAGCCACGCUGGCGGCGGCGUCUGCCACGUAGGCCUGGUCCCACAGAGAUGGGUUCACGGCGGGUGCCGACCCCACGUGGUGGUGGUGGUGGUGGUGGUGGGGGUGGUGCAUGGGUAGAAUGGGGUUCAGGAGGUGGGAUGGGCCCCUGGAGAAGCCGCUGAACUGUGGGGGAGUGGGGAUGGGGUUGACCCUCGAGGGAGAGGUUGACCAUACCAUGUGCCGGGGGGGAGGCGGAGGAUGGUAGGAGUUGGAGCUGCCCCAGACGUACUGAUGAGGCCCAUGGAGAGGGCAGCCGCCGCCAUUCCCUGACGACCCAAAAGC